UACGUAGGAGGCAAGCGUUGUCCGGAAUCACUGGGCGUAAAGAGCGUGUAGGCGGUCUGCCCAAGUCUGUUGUGAAAGCGCCUGGCUUAACUGGGCGAGGUCGACGGAAACUGGCAAACUGGAGGCCGGUAGAGGAGGGUGGAAUUCCCGGUGUAGUGGUGAAAUGCGUAGAGAUCGGGAGGAACACCAGUGGCGAAGGCG
rnacentral:rRNA from 1 species